rnacentral:rRNA from 1 species
AGAGUUUGAUCAUGGCUCAGAACGAACGUUGGCGGCGUGGAUUAGGCAUGCAAGUCGAACGAAGACGGGGUAGCAAUAUCCCGGACUGAGUGGCGAAAGGGGCAGUAAGGCGUGGGUAACCUACCUCUGGGACGGGGAUAGCCUUCCUAACGGGAGGGUAAUACCCGGCGACGUAGCUGUGGGGCAUCUCGUGGCUACCA